GUGGUGGCUCAGAGAUAGAGUGCUUGCCUGGCACGUGUGAGGCCCUGGGUUCAAUUCUCAGCACCACA
rnacentral:tRNA from 1 species